UACGUAGGUGACAAGCGUUGUCCGGAUUUACUGGGCGUAAAGAGCGCGCAGGCGGUCGUUCAAGUCGAGUGUGAAAGCCCCCGGCUCAACUGGGGAGGGUCAUUCGAUACUGAUCGACUCGAAGGCAGGAGAGGGAAGUGGAAUUCCCGGUGUAGUGGUGAAAUGCGUAGAUAUCGGGAGGAACACCAGUGGCGAAGGCGGGUUGCUGGGCUGACACUGACGCUGAGGCGCGAAAGCCAGGGGAGCGAACGGG
rnacentral:rRNA from 1 species